UAUUCAACUGGCGCGAGCUGCAGAGCCUUCCACCAGAUCAUAUGUCAUUAAACCACUUCUUGUUAGCUCUCGCACCAUGAAGGUUGUCUUGUCUCCUUCAAAGUGUUUGAAAGAGAGGGCAUUUCUGGCCACAUUCCUGGGCAUUUCCAAUUUUCGUUCUUGUUUUUUCGAGAGAGUGUUUGAAAGAGAGGGCAUUUCUGGCCACAUUCCUG